AGAGUUUGAUCAUGGCUCAGAACGAACGCUGGCGGCGUACUUAACACAUGCAAGUCGAACGAGAACGGGGCUUCGGUUCCUUAGUAAAGUGGCGAACGGGUGCGUAACACGUAAGUAAUCUGCCCCAGACUCUGGGAUAACGUUUCGAAAGAGGCGCUAAUACCGGAUAGUUUCCAGUGGCACAAGUCGCUGGAGGAAAGUUAGCUCGCUUGCGGUCUGGGAUGAACUUGCGGCCCAUUAGCUAGUUGGUAGGGUUAAGGCCUACCAAGGCGACGAUGGGUAGCUGGUCUGAGAGGAUGAUCAGCCACACUGGCACUGAGACACGGGCCAGACUCCUACGGGAGGCAGCAGUGGGGAAUUUUGCGCAAUGGGCGAAAGCCUGACGCAGUAACGCCGCGUGGAGGAUGAAGGCCUUUGGGUUGUAAACUCCUGACUGGGGGAAAGAUAAUGACGGUACCCCCAAAGAAAGCCCCGGCUAAUUCCGUGCCAGCAGCCGCGGUAAUACGGAAGGGGCAAGCGUUGUUCGGAAUCAUUGGGCGUAAAGGGCGUGUAGGCGGUUUCAUGUGUCCGCUGUGAAACAACACGGCUCAACCGUGUAGAGCGGCGGAAACUGUGAGACUUGAGGCUGGGAGGGGCUGGUGGAAUUCCCUGUGUAGCGGUGAAAUGCGUAGAGAUGGGGGAGAACACUCGUGGCGAAGGCGGCCAGCUGGACCAGUUCUGACGCUAAGACGCGAAAGCGUGGGGAGCAAACAGGAUUAGAUACCCCCGUAGUCC
rnacentral:rRNA from 1 species